UAUGGCCAUAUCACAUUGAAACAUCAGUUCUGAUAUGAUCAGCAAAGUUAAGCAAAAUUGAGCCUGGUCAGUAACUUGAUGGGUGACCACUUGGAAAUACCAGGUGUUGUAAG